GACGAACCGUGCGAGCGUUAUUCGGAAUCACUGGGCUUAAAGGGCGCGUAGGCGGGCUGUCAAGUCUGGGGUGAAAUGCCACGGCUCAACCGUGGAACUGCCUCAGAUACCGACGGCCUCGAGGAAGGUAGGGGCAUGCGGAACUGUAGGUGGAGCGGUGAAAUGCGUUGAUAUCUACAGGAACUCCGGUGGCGAAAGCGGCGUGCUGGACCUUUUCUGACGCUGAGGCGCGAAAGCUAGGGGAGCAAACGGG
rnacentral:rRNA from 1 species